GAUGAACGCUAGCUACAGGCUUAACACAUGCAAGUCGAGGGGCAGCAUGAACUUAGCUUGCUAAGUUUGAUGGCGACCGGCGCACGGGUGAGUAACACGGAUCCAACCUGCCGAUGACUCGGGGAUAGCCUUUCGAAAGAAAGAUUAAUACCCGAUGGCAUAGUUCUUCCGCAUGGUAGAACUAUUAAAGAAUUUCGGUCAUCGAUGGGGAUGCGUUCCAUUAGGUUGUUGGCGGGGUAACGGCCCACCAAGCCUUCGAUGGAUAGGGGUUCUGAGAGGAAGGUCCCCCACAUUGGAACUGAGACACGGUCCAAACUCCUACGGGAGGCAGCAGUGAGGAAUAUUGGUCAAUGGACGAGAGUCUGAACCAGCCAAGUAGCGUGAAGGAUGACUGCCCUAUGGGUUGUAAACUUCUUUUAUACGGGAAUAAAGUGAGGCACGUGUGCCUUUUUGUAUGUACCGUAUGAAUAAGGAUCGGCUAACUCCGUG
rnacentral:rRNA from 1 species